rnacentral:rRNA from 1 species
AUACGUAGGUGGCAAGCGUUGUCCGGAUUUACUGGGUGUAAAGGGCGUGUAGCCGGGUCUGCAAGUCAGAUGUGAAAUCUAAGGGCUUAACCCUUAAACUGCAUUUGAAACUGCAGGUCUUGAGUAUCGGAGAGGUCAUCGGAAUUCCUAGUGUAGCGGUGAAAUGCGUAGAUAUUAGGAAGAACACCAGUGGCGAAGGCGGAUGACUGGACGACAACUGACGGUGAGGCGCGAAAGCGUGGGGAGC